rnacentral:rRNA from 1 species
UACGUAGGGUCCGAGCGUUGUCCGGAAUUAUUGGGCGUAAAGGGCUCGUAGGCGGUCUGUCGCGUCGGGAGUGAAAACUUACAGCUUAACUGUGAGCGUGCUUCCGAUACGGGCAGACUUGAGGUAUUCAGGGGAGAACGGAAUUCCUGGUGUAGCGGUGAAAUGCGCAGAUAUCAGGAGGAACACCGGUGGCGAAGGCGGGUCUCUGGGCCGUAACUGACGCUGAGGAGCGAAAGCGUGGGGAGCGAACAGG